rnacentral:lncRNA from 1 species
AUGCUGCAGCAGCUUCCUGUACAGCGCAUAAACUUCUCCAUCCAUAAAAUAAAUGUCAUACUUCUUCUCAUGCUGCAACUUGCUAAGUGCUAUCGUCGAGAAAGACGUAAGCUUCCGCCCAAAGACGACCUGGCCCAGCUCCUCCCGGCACACGGCGCAGUACCGCACGCCGCACAGCGCCCGCAUCCGCACCGAGCAGCGAUAGCAGAUGGGGUGAUCGCAGCGGCCCAGCGCCACCACCUCCAGCUCCCCGCAGCACAGCACGCACGGGCCCUCCGCCGGCCCCAACGCCGCCGCCGCCGCCACGCCCGAGGCCGAGGCGGCCAUGGCGGCGCCGACCCGCCGCGGCCUAGGCCCCGCACCA